rnacentral:rRNA from 1 species
CGCAUAAGCCCACGGCUCGGCAUCGAGCAGAGGGAAAAGGAGCAAUCCGCUUUGAGAUGGCCUCGCGUCCGAUUAGCUAGUUGGUGAGGUAACGGCCCACCAAGGCGACGAUCGGUAGCCGGACUGAGAGGUUGAACGGCCACAUUGGGACUGAGACACGGCCCAGACUCCUACGGGAGGCAGCAGUGGGGAAUAUUGCACAAUGGGGGAAACCCUGAUGCAGCGACGCCGCGUGGAGGAAGAAGGUCUUCGGAUUGUAAACUCCUGUUGUUGAGGAAGAUAAUGACGGUACUCAACAAGGAAGUGACGGCUAACUACGUGCCAGCAGCCGCGGUAAAACGUAGGUCACAAGCGUUGUCCGGAAUUACUGGGUGUAAAGGGAGCGCAGGCGGGAGAACAAGUUGGAAGUGAAAUCCAUGGGCUCAACCCAUGAACUGCUUUCAAAACUGUUUUUCUUGAGUAGUGCAGAGGUAGGCGGAAUUCCCGGUGUAGCGGUGGAAUGCGUAGAUAUCGGGAGGAACACCAGUGGCGAAGGCGGCCUACUGGGCACCAACUGACGCUGAGGCUCGAAAGUGUGGGUAGCAAACAGGAUUAGAUACCCUGGUAGUCCACACCGUAAACGAUGAUUACUAGGUGUUGGAGGAUUGACCCCUUCAGUGCCGCAGUUAACACAAUAAGUAAUCCACCUGGGGAGUACGACCGCAAGGUUGAAACUCAAAGGAAUUGACGGGGGCCCGCACAAGCAGUGGAGUAUGUGGUUUAAUUCGACGCAACGCGAAGAACCUUACCAAGUCUUGACAUCCCUUGACGAUGCUGGAAACAGUAUUUCUCUUCGGAGCAAGGAGACAGGUGGUGCAUGGUUGUCGUCAGCUCGUGUCGUGAGAUGUUGGGUUAAGUCCCGCAACGAGCGCAACCCUUAUGGUCAGUUACUACGCAAGAGGACUCUGGCCAGACUGCCGUUGACAAAACGGAGGAAGGUGGGGAUGACGUCAAAUCAUCAUGCCCUUUAUGACUUGGGCUACACACGUACUACAAUGGCGUUAAACAAAGAGAAGCAAGACCGCGAGGUGGAGCAAAACUCAGAAACAACGUCCCAGUUCGGACUGCAGGCUGCAACUCGCCUGCACGAAGUCGGAAUUGCUAGUAAUCGUGGAUCAGCAUGCCACGGUGAAUACGUUCCCGGGCCUUGUACACACCGCCCGUCACACCAUGAGAGCCGGGGGGACCCGAAGUCGGUAGUCUAACCGUAAGGAGGACGCCGCCGAAGGUAAAACUGGUGAUUGGGGUGAAGUCGGAACAAGGU